UGUACAGUUCAGUGUUUGACCCUCUGUUGGUGUUUCUGCCUCAGCUUCUCAUUAUAGGAGCUGUAUGGAUCUGGUUUUUCAUCCGCAUGAAUAAAUUGAACUCAUCUAAAAACAAAACUGAUGACAAACAAAUAGAGAUGUUGCAGGUCUGUGAGUAGAUCAGCUGUCUGUCCAUCAGAACUACUGGAGUGAUGUCACAACUCUCUUUAUGACAUCAUCACCUAGCAACAGUCUCUCAGCAGUGACAUCAGUGAUGUAGUGAUGUCAUAUACAGUGACAUAUUAAUGUCAGCUCAGUGUAAAUAAUCUAAUGUUCAAAUACAUGAAUUAUUCAUUGAAGUAUUGAGUUUAUCAUUCAACAGUCUUGUGUCAGUGUCAGAUCAACUGUAACAUCACAAUGCAUAAAUCCUGUAAAAACUUUGCUAUAGUGCAUCUUUAUGUAGAUGAUACUGUGAUCUACUUUCAUCUUCACUAUAAGUCAGGCUGAUAUUGAACUCAAUGCUGUUUUUAGUUAGGUUAGGAUUUUAUUACAGGGCUGUGCUUUAAUCUUGUAGUUAGGAAAGCAUUUGUUCAGUUUAUUUUAAAAUGUUUUGGACUAUGGGGACAUUAUUUACAUGUAUGUUGAUUUCACUGCAUUUCACAGUUUAGACACUGACUGUGUAUCAUAGCUCUUUAUGUUUUAUAAUUCAUUGUCAUUGUUGUAUAUUUUAUAAUACAGUCUUUUGGUUUUAUUAAGCUUGAGGAGACUGCAGCAUUGAUUUAUUUC